rnacentral:rRNA from 1 species
AGAGUUUGAUCCUGGCUCAGGACGAACGCUGGCGGUGUGCUUAACACAUGCAAGUCGAACGGAAAGGCCCUUCGGGGUACUCGAGUGGCGAACGGGUGAGUAACACGUGGGUGAUCUGCCCUGCACUUUGGGAUAAGCCUGGGAAACUGGGUCUAAUACCGAAUAUGACCAUGCACUUCCUGGUGUGUGGUGGAAAGCUUUUGCGGUGUGGGAUGGGCCCGCGGCCUAUCAGCUUGUUGGUGGGGUAAUGGCCUACCAAGGCGACGACGGGUAGCCGGCCUGAGAGGGUGACCGGCCACACUGGGACUGAGAUACGGCCCAGACUCCUACGGGAGGCAGCAGUGGGGAAUAUUGCACAAUGGGCGCAAGCCUGAUGCAGCGACGCCGCGUGAGGGAUGACGGCCUUCGGGUUGUAAACCUCUUUCAGCACAGACGAAGCGCAAGUGACGGUAUGUGCAGAAGAAGGACCGGCCAACUACGUGCCAGCAGCCGCGGUAAUACGUAGGGUCCGAGCGUUGUCCGGAAUUACUGGGCGUAAAGAGCUCGUAGGUGGUUUGUCGCGUUGUUCGUGAAAACUCACAGCUUAACUGUGGGCGUGCGGGUGAUACGGGCAGACUUGAGUACUGCAGGGGAGACUGGAAUUCCUGGUGUAGCGGUGAAAUGCGUAGA